GAUGAACGCUGGCGGCGUGCCUAAUACAUGCAAGUCGAGCGAACGGACGAGAGGCUUGCUUCUCUGAUGUUAGCGGCGGACGGGUGAGUAACACGUGGAUAACCUACCUAUAGACUGGGAUAACUUCGGGAAACCGGAGCUAAUACCGGAUAAUAUUUUGAACCGCAUGGUUCAAAAGUGAAAGACGGUCUUGCUGUCACUUAUAGAUGGAUCCGCGCUGCAUUAGCUAGUUGGUAAGGUAACGGCUUACCAAGGCAACGAUGCAUAGCCGACCUGAGAGGGUGAUCGGCCACACUGGAACUGAGACACGGUCCAGACUCCUACGGGAGGCAGCAGUAGGGAAUCUUCCGCAAUGGGCGAAAGCCUGACGGAGCAACGCCGCGUGAGUGAUGAAGGUCUUCGGAUCGUAAAACUCUGUUAUUAGGGAAGAACAUAUGUGUAAGUAACUGUGCACAUCUUGACGGUACCUAAUCAGAAAGCCACGGCUAACUACGUG
rnacentral:rRNA from 1 species